GGAGAGAUGGCAGAGUGGUCGAUUGCGACGGUCUUGAAAACCGUUGACUGUUACAGGGUCCGGGGGUUCGAAUCCCUCUCUCUCCG
rnacentral:tRNA from 1 species